UAUUUCAACUGAAAAAGUCAUCAAUAACAAAGUGGUAUAACUCAUCAAGAUCUAUAACUUUUAUUUUGGUCAUUUCUUUAUCCGACAAAGUGAUUGUAGGAUUGUUCACAAAAUGUAGAUAUCUCUUAUGUAGUUUUAUAAAAUAUAAGAGAGAUAUGUAAAUUUUGUGAAAAUGUUAAUAUCACUUUGUCGGAUGAAGAAAUGACCAAAAUAGAAGUUAUAGAUUUUGAUGAGUUAUAUAACUUUGUUGUUGAUGACUUUUUCAGCUGAGAUC
rnacentral:pre_miRNA from 1 species